rnacentral:rRNA from 1 species
UGAGCAACCUGCCUUUCAGAGGGGGAUAACAGUUGGAAACGACUGCUAAUACCGCAUAACGCUGCGAUGGGGCAUCCCGAUGCAGCCAAAGGAGCAAUCCGCUGAAAGAUGGGCUCGCGGCCGAUUAGCUAGUUGGUGGGGCAACGGCCCACCAAGGCGACGAUCGGUAGCCGGACUGAGAGGUUGAUCGGCCACAUUGGGACUGAGACACGGCCCAGACUCCUACGGGAGGCAGCAG